CUGCGCUUGACGCGUAAUGUGACGAGCAUUGUAAACAAAAGUAUGGUAAAUGUUUCCCUAGCCUAGAAAAGAAGGAAUGCUGUCUCAAGAGUCUUUUCCUUGAGUAAGAGCUCCAGGAUGUUGUGUGAAAUCCUGCUCACAUCGCUAUGGCUCCUGUUUGUUAUCUUCUGGCUGGAGUUGAUAAGCCUGUGGUUGUUCCUGUCCAUGUUCUUCCAAGACCGUGCAUUUUACCACUGGGGGGAUGGGAUGUUUGCAGAUGAUCCUGGACAGAUGAUCUACAUGUUAAGCCGCGCUGAUGCCCAGGCAGAGACGCAAACCUGAGAUGGAGAAAACAAAAGAAAAGAAAACAAGAAGUCCACUAAAGACUCUGAAUGGAGAGCUGUUGAAGUAAUGUGACUGAAGAAUUUGAUAAAAGGCA